rnacentral:sRNA from 1 species
AUAGUCCAUUCUAAUGCUAUUACUGGCUGCUGCUGGUGGUGGUGGGUGCUCCUUGUCAGCUACAUCAAAGUGAAUGGUGGUGUCAUAAACUAAUCAUGGGUGGCACUUUGCAGAGGGCAGGUGACUGGGGCAAACCCCUGGAAGAUUUAAACCUGAAGAAAGAAGCCUGCGUACCAGAGAAUGCCAACAAUCAACAGCCAGUGGAGACAUCUGAACAGCCAGGCCCAGAUACCAACAGAAAAAGAGAAAUGACAUGCUCCAGUCACCUAAAGAUCAAGAAGAAUAACAAAGAAAAAACAGUAAAAGAUGAAAAGACGCCUAGGAAGAAAUCAGGAAGAAAAUCCUUUCAAUUGCCACCCACCUGCCCAAGAAACUAUAAGAGAACAGUAAGACCAACGAUAUUUUUAUGUUCUCACAAGACGAAUAAUGCAAAGAUUAAAACCCACCAUAGCCAAAACAAAAAACGUUGGAAUAUAAAACCAUUCCAUGUGACCUCCUGUGGAUCGAGAAAAUGUAAAGCCUGGGUUAGAAACUUAAAACGAGCUACAGCAGUUUCAGAAGUAAAUGUGGAGGAAAUAGAAGACACUUGAGAUCACAUCUAGAGCCAACAAAAAAUGUGCCAGUUGGCAGUUGAAAUAAAACAUUCAAGAUGUGGGAAAAAUGAAACUAUAAUGGUUUAGAAAAUUAGAACUUAUAGGUUCUCCUCUAGGAUUCAUAACUUUAUGUGCAAUUUCCCUGGUCUUCCUCCAAGAAUUUGAAGAGGAGACCUCAAAACCAACAAAAAUCAUCCUGAUAACAAUCUUGCCCUGUUGUACCUGUGUAUCUAUUGUAACACCAUAAUCAUCAUUGCAGUUUCAAGAUAUAUUGUUAGGCAGAGACUUUUACAGCUUCAAGAAGAACUCUUCAUUUUCCUCUCUAUAGACUGAUGAAAGCUUGUUUUGGGUAACCUUUAAAAUCAAGAAAUAAAGCUUUAUAUGUCAUCCUCA